rnacentral:lncRNA from 10 species
GUGCCUAAUAGUAUAUGAAAAAGUGAUAGGAUGCCACUCCUAUGAUUACAUCACAUUAUAUAAAUCUUGCUAGUCGACUGCUUUAGAGCUUCUCCUUGCUGGUUCAAUGAAGUAAGCAACUAUGUUGAAAAAGUCCACAUGGCAAAGAACUGCUGGUGGCCUGUAAGACCUGAGGGCAGCCUCCAGCUGAAAACUGACAGGCAGAAAAAAGUCAGGGUCCUCAGUCCACAGCUACAGUGAAAUGAAUUCUGCAACCACCUGAUUGAGCUUGAAAUCUGAUGCUUUCCCAGCUAAGCCUCCAGAUGAAAAUGCAGCUCGGUUGAAACCCUGCAAAAAUGAGCAGAGAACCCAGCCAAGUUGUGACUGGAGACUCCUGACUUACGGACAAUAAGAGAGGAAAUGUCUUUUGAAAGCUUCACUGACGCCAAGCAGAUUUCUUCCAACAAUUUCUUGCUUCUUGUGAUGUUAGAAGAGCAAUUAUGUUCCUGUGAGCAGCUGAUGGAGGACAUUAUCAACAUGGAAGUACUUCUUUGUGAGAGAACUGUCAGCUUACGUUUAUAUUAAUAGAUAUUACCUUUGGACUAUAUCUGUGGGAAAAGAAAAGCUAUUUCAGUAAGUGGUAUCUCUAUUUUACUUCUCCACCUAAGUCAAAAUAUUCUUUCAGAUGGCUUCUCUAGUUAAAUUACUUCUAAUAAAAAAGAUAUAAAAUUUCACAAAAUACUCUUUUUUUCUAACCAAAUUAACUAAAUCUCAUUGAUAUCAAGUAGUUCAUAUUAUGUCAUAAUUCUGGCUUCUGUAUUUAUUGUCCUUUUGACUCUGCUGAAGAUUUGAGUACUUAAAGGCAUAUAUAGAAGUAUAUAUUCUGCAAUUGUUUAGACA